rnacentral:rRNA from 1 species
UACGGGGGGGCAAGCGUUGUUCGGAAUUCCUGGGCGUAAAGGGCUCGUAGGCGGCCAACUAAGUCAGACGUGAAAUCCCUCGGCUUAACCGGGGAACUGCGUCUGAUACUGGAUGGCUAGAGGUUGGGAGAGGGAUGCGGAAUUCCAGGUGUAGCGGUGAAAUGCGUAGAUAUUGGGAGGAACACCAGUGGCGAAGGCGGCUCACUGGACCGGUACUGACGCUGAGGCGCGAAAGCGUGGGGAGCAAACGGG